rnacentral:tRNA from 1 species
UCCCUGUUGUCUCAGUGGUAAAGAAUCUGCCUGCAAUGCAGGAGACCCAGGUUUGAUCCUUGGGUUGGGAA